rnacentral:snRNA from 9 species
UUACACAGUUGAUAGUCGUACCGUGAUCAUGCAGGCGGUUCCCCCAGGGUGAGACUGCUCCAUUGCACUGCGGAGUGGUUGACCAUUGUGAUUAUUUUAUAUUUUAUAAGUUUCACUUCUACCGUGUGUGACUUGCACACAGCCACACA